rnacentral:miRNA from 1 species
AUUGUUAGCUGCGUCAAUGACAUGCAAAACCAUGUGAUGAUCAUUGAUGAUCAAGCA